UACGGAGGGGGCUAGCGUUGUUCGGAAUUACUGGGCGUAAAGCGUACGUAGGCGGCUUUGCAAGUUAGAGGUGAAAGCCCGGGGCUCAACCCCGGAAUUGCCUUUAAGACUGCAUCGCUUGAAUCGCGGAGAGGUGAGUGGAAUUCCGAGUGUAGAGGUGAAAUUCGUAGAUAUUCGGAAGAACACCAGUGGCGAAGGCGGCUCACUGGACGCGUAUUGACGCUGAGGUACGAAAGCGUGGGGAGCAAACAGG
rnacentral:rRNA from 1 species